rnacentral:lncRNA from 1 species
CUUUACAAAAGAAAAGAGCAAUUUACUAUGACAUUAUAUGAUUUUCUUUUUUUAGAGAUUCUAUAUUUUAUUUUAAAAAUUUUGAAAUAUAAAAUAUAAGAGAAAAAAUUCACUUUUUUACAAAUUAUAAGAGGAAUAAUUAACAACUAUGACACGUUCACGAAAAAAAAAACCUUUUGUAGCGAAUCAUUUAUUAAGAAAAAUAAAAGUAAAAUUGAUUUUAGACGCAAUGAAAAAGACAUAUAUGGUAGAAUCAUAACCAUAGAAUAUGACCCUAAUCGAAAUGCACACAUUUGUCUCAUACACUAUGGGGAUGGUGAGAAAAGAUAUAUUUUAUACCCCAAAGGGGCUAUAAUUGGAGAUACCAUUGUUUAUGGUACAGAAGUUCCUAUAAAAAUGGGAAAUGCCCUACCUUUGAGUGCGGUUUGAACUAUUGAUUUACGUAAUUGGAAGUAACCAAUUAGGGUUAUGGCGAAACCUAGAAAUCGAUCACUGAUCCAAUUGGAGUAGAUAGACUUCAACAGAAAACUGAAGAAUAACGGCAGCAAGUGAUUGAGUUCAGUAGUUCCCAAUAUACAAUUAUUGACCCUAGAGAUGUAGUAAUAUGGAGAAGACAAAAUUGUUUCAAGCACCGACAGAACACGAAGCGCUCCUCGUUUCAACUAACGGGAAGACAAGGAUUAUUCACAUUUCAUUUGAUGGUCAAAGGCAAAUUGAAAGCGAAACUCCUCGUUUCAACUAACGGGAAGACAAGGAUUAUUCACAUUUCAUUUGAUGGUCAAAGGCAAAUUGAAAGCGAAGCAGUGGUAAUUCUAAGGAUUCCUCCGGGAAAAAAUAGAAAUGUCUCCUACGCUACCCGUACUAGGUGUAAGUAGCAACGUAAUUUCAUAGAGUCAUUCGGUCUGAAUGCUACAUGAAGAACAUAAGCCAGAUGAAGGAACGGAACAGAAAGACCUAGGAUGUAGAAGAUCAUAACAUGAGGCAUUCAUUCGGAAGAUUUUGAUUCGUAGAUUAUAUAUCCACUCAUGUGGUAUGGUACUUCGUUAUGUCAUAUAUAAUCUACGAAAUAAACGAUAUAUAAGAUGCAUCUGUAUAGAUAUUAUAAUCUACAUACAGAAAGCCGUAUGCUUUGGAAGAAGCUUGUACAGUUUGGGAAGGGGUUUUGAUUGAUCAAAAAGAAGAAUCUACUUCAACCGAUAUGCCGUUAGGCACGGCCAUACAUAACAUAGAAAUAACACUUGGAAAGGGUGGACAAUUAGCUAGAGCAGCGGGUGCUGUAGCGAAACUGAUUGCAAAAGAGGGUAAAUCAGCAACAUUAAAAUUACCUUCUGGAGAGGUCCGUUUGAUAUCAAAAAACUGCUCAGCAACAGUCGGACAAGUAGGGAAUGUUGGGGUAAACCAGAAAAGUUUGGGCAGAGCCGGAGCUAAACGUUGGCGAGGCAAGCGUCCUGUAGUAAGAGGGGUAGUUAUGAACCCUGUAGACCAUCCACAUGGGGGUGGUGAAGGGAGGGCGCCAAUUGGUAGAAAAAAACCCUCAACUCCUUGGGGUUAUCCUGCACUUGGAAGAAGAGCUAGAAAAAGCAAUAAAUAUAGUGAUAAUUUGAUUCUUCGUCGCCGUAGUAAAUAGUCAGUGGAGCGUAGAGAAAAUAGAAUUUGUUUCUUCGUCUUUACAAAAGAAAAGAGCAAUUUACUAUGACAUUUUAUGAUUUUCUUUUUUUAGAGAUUCUAUAUUUUAUUUUAAAAAAUUUGAAAUAUAAAAUAUAAGAGAAAAAAUUCACUUUUUUACAAAUUAUAAGAGGAAUAAUUAACAACUAUGACACGUUCACGAAGAAAAAACCCUUUUGUAGCGAAUCAUUUAUUAAGAAAAAUAAAGAAGCUUAACACAAAAGGAGAAAAGGCAAUAAUAAAAACUUGGUCCAGAAAAUCUACCAUUAUACCUAUAAUGAUUGGGCAUACCAUAUGACACGUUCACGAAAAAAAAACCCUUUUGUAGCGAAUCAUUUAUUAAGAAAAAUAAAGAAGCUUAACACAAAAGGAGAAAAGGCAAUAAUAAAAACUUGGUCCAGAAAAUCUACCAUUAUACCUAUAGUGAUUGGGCAUACCAUUGCUAUCCAUAAUGGAAAAGAGCAUUUACCUGUUUAUAUAACAGAUCGUAUGGUAGGCCAUAAAUUGGGAGAAUUUUCACCUACUCUAAACUUCGGAGGAUUUGCGAAAAAUGACAAUAAAUCUCGUCGUUAAGAUUUCUAUUAACCUACCACAUUCAUUUGAAGUUACAAAAUUCAUAUUCAUCAUUUUUCAAUCGGAGGAUGAAAAAUGAUAAUACAUAUCGUGCUUAAGAUUUAUAUUUCCCUACCGUUACCAUUCAUUGAGUGGCUGAUUUGGUGGUUCUCAAUCAACAACAUGAGUGUUGACCUAUAUUUCCUUAACAUUCAUUUGACGCUACAAUUAGUAUUCAUCACUAAUGAUGAUUAAUUAAAUUCAUUUGAAGUUACAAAAUUCAUAUUCAUCAUUUUUCAAUCGGAGGAUGAAAAAUGAUAAUACAUAUCGUGCUUAAGAUUUAUAUUUACCUACCGUUACCAUUCAUUGAGUGGCUGAUUUGGUGGAUCUCAAUCAACAACAUGAGUGUUGACCUAUAUUUCCUUAACAUUCAUUUGACGCUACAAUUAGUAUUCAUCACUAAUGAUGAUUAAUUAAGAAAUUUAUCAAUUUGUGUCGAGUCACAACACAAACAACGCGUGAAUGGUAAUUAAUAUUAAUAAUAUUCAAAAAUGGAAAGAUCGAACUUAUGUUUUAUGGAGUUGGGCAUCUUAUUCUAUUUUUUUUGAAUUGCUUUAUUCUGCAGCAGAAAAAGAAAAAAGAUAAAUAAAGAUAUAGAUUAAUAAAUAAAAAAAAGAGAUAGAUAAAAUAAAAAAGUAGACAAAUAAGACGUAUCAUUUGAUAUAGAGUGGUGAGGGGUUAUGGGACAAAAAAUACAUCCGCUUGGUUUCAGACUUGGUGCAACNAUUCAAAAAUUGAAAGAUCGAACUUAUGUUUUAUGGAGUUGGGCAUCUUAUUCUAUUUUUUUUGAAUUGCUUUAUUCUGCAGCAGAAAAAGAAAAAAGAUAUAUAAAGAUAUAGAUUAAUAAAUAAAUAAAAGAGAUAGAUAAAAAAGUAGACAAAUAAGAUGUAUCAUUUGAUAUAGAGUGGUGAGGGGUUAUGGGACAAAAAAUACAUCCGCUUGGUUUCAGACUUGGUGCAACUCAAAGUCAUGAUUCUAUUUGGUUUGCAUAACCAAUAAUUUGAUAUAGAGUGGUGAGGGGUUAUGGGACAAAAAAUACAUCCGCUUGGUUUCAGACUUGGUGCAACUCAAAGUCAUGAUUCUAUUUGGUUUGCAUAACCAAUAAUUUAUUCCAAGAAUAUAAAAGAAGAUAAAAUGAUCCGAUAUUGUAUCGUGCAUUAUAUACUAAACACGAUAAAUGGAUCCUUGGAAUUCGAUGUCGAUAUCUCUGGCUAUGGAAUUGGAUGAAUAAAGAUUCAAAAAAGAAUCGAUCGGAUUAAAGUGAUAAUCUAUAUGGGACUUCCAAACUUAUUAAAAGAAGAGGUGAAGGCUCAAAGAAUCGAAGAAUUAAAGACUCAUGUACAAAAAAAAGUAAAUUGUGUGAANUAAAAUGAUCCGAUAUUGUAUCGUGCAUUAUAUACUAAACACGAUAAAUGGAUCCUUGGAAUUCGAUGUCGAUAUCUCUGGCUAUGGAAUUGGACGAAUAAAGAUUCAAAAAAGAAUCGAUCGGAUUGAAGUGAUAAUCUAUAUGGGACUUCCAAACUUAUUAAAAGAAGAGGUGAAGGCUCAAAGAAUCGAAGAAUUAAAGACUCAUGUAC